UACAGAGGUCCCAAGCGUUGUUCGGAUUCACUGGGCAUAAAGGGUGCGUAGGCGGUCGGGUAAGUCUGAUGUGAAAUCUCACAGCUUAACUGUGAAACUGCAUUGGAUACUAUCCGGCUAGAGGAAUGGAGGGGAGACUGGAAUACUUGGUGUAGCAGUGAAAUGCGUAGAGAUGCGGAGGAACACCGAUGGCGAAGGCAGCCCCCUGGGCUAACACUGACGCUCAGGCACGAAAGCGUGGGGAGCAAACAGG
rnacentral:rRNA from 1 species